rnacentral:rRNA from 1 species
GUGAGGAAUAUUGGUCAAUGGGCGGGAGCCUGAACCAGCCAAGUCGCGUGAAGGAAGAAGGAUCUAUGGUUCGUAAACUUCUUUUGCAGGGGAAUAAAGUGCAGGACGUGUCCUGUUUUGUAUGUACCCUGAGAAUAAGGAUCGGCUAACUCCGUGCCAGCAGCCGCGGUAAUACGGAGGAUCCGAGCGUUAUCCGGAUUUAUUGGGUUUAAAGGGUGCGUAGGUGGUUUGAUAAGUCAGCGGUGAAAGUUUGCAGCUUAACUGUAAAAAUGCCGUUGAAACUGUCGGACUUGAGUGUAAAUGAGGUAGGCGGAAUGCGUGGUGUAGCGGUGAAAUGCAUAGAUAUCACGCAGAACUCCGAUUGCGAAGGCAGCUUACUAAGCUACAACUGACACUGAAGCACGAAAGCGUGGGGAUCAAACAGGAUUAGAUACCCGGGUGUCC